rnacentral:rRNA from 1 species
CCUACGGGUGGCAGCAGUGGGGAAUUUUGCGCAAUGCACGUAAGUGUGACGCAGCGACGCUGCGUGAAUGAUGACGGCCUUCUGAUCGUAAACCUCUGUCAGCAGGGAAGAACGGUCACUGUGCUAAUCAGCAGUGAAUUGACGGUACCUGCAAGGGACGCAUCGGCUAACGCCGUGCCAGCAGCCGCGGUAAUACGGAGGGUGCGAGCGUUAAUCGGAAUUACUGGGCGUAAAGGGAUCGUAGGCGGUAUGUCAAGUCAGGGGUGAAAUCCCCGGGCUCAACGUGGGAACUGCCUUUGAAACUGGCAAACUGGAGUGUGUGAGAGGAUAGUGGAAUUCCAGGUGUAGGAGUGAAAUCCGUAGAUAUCUGGAAGAACAUCAGUGGCGAAGGCGACUAACUGGAACAUAACUGACGCUGAGGAGCGAAAGCGUGGGUAGCAAACAGGAUUAGAUACCCGAGUAGUC